AAGAACCAGGAGGCAGAGCAAGCAGUCAUUUGGCUGAACCAUGACAGUGCUUGAGUUCUCCCGUCACCAGGCAACCGAGGGCACUGCGAGAUCCCUCCGCGGCUACCUCUCAGGAAUAUUGUUGUUACACAGGCAGUUAUUUUUAGAAGAUUCAAACAUUCUGCCUUCCAGCUAGAGGUUCCCAGACAUCCUUAUAAUGAAAGUCUUAGGCAGACCAUGUUGUUCAUGAUGACAGAAGAUCAGAUUAUACGUGCUCAGCUGCUGCUCCAGUGCCAUGCCUGACUGCCUGCUGCCUUCCUCCCACCACUCAUGGACUCGCCCUCUGAAAAUACAAGCCCCCAAUAAACUCUUUCUUCCCUAAACUGGUCAUGUGGUUUGUCACAGGCAUUGAAAGGUAUCCAAGACGAAAAGGAAGGGCAUGCCAUGCAGGAGCACACUCAAGACCUCUAUAGUAACAGAGAUGCCACAUGAUGAUGACACUGAACAUCACAAUUUGAUAGAGUAAGUGAGGCAGGGAUUGAGUGAAACUUUGCCUUUGCUUCCAAGUUACUUGAAGAAAUAAACCGAACAGAACAGUUCAUUAAAUUUAAAGGAGGGUGGUGAUAAUGAAGUUCAAGUGCUCAAAUUUGUUCAUUCUGGGACAUGGAUAAAUGUAAUAUGUGGAUGAAACCCUGAUCUUCAAAAUGAGGGAAUUCAACAUCUGGGUUCUUUGCUCACGGACCUCAGACACACUACUUCUUCUUUUCUGUCUCUGUCAAAUGGGUAUGUUAACUCAUGGAAUAGCAUGAAGCUGUGCAAAAGGAACCUCUGAAGUCAGUUUUAAAACCUGUUUUGAGCACAUUAUCCCUAAUCCAAACUUCUAAAUGUUAAAUUUAAAUGACAGUUAAUAUUGUCUUAGAAUUUUAAAAAAUCGUUAUACAAAAUAAUUUAAAAGCCAAGCUAACACUGUAUGUUACUUAGGAGCACACGACACUUCCUUUAUGUUCCUAAUCAUUGAUAACAGAUAGAGAAAGUGCUCAAAGGAAAUGCUGGUAGAGAACAUGGGAUUAUUCACAAGACAAAAACGCCAAGCCAAGAAAACGCAGCACAUGCAGCCAUGAUCAUUCUCUUUCCAUACACAUCUGAAAUCUGGUCACGAGUCCUCUAACUGCUCUUUUACUAAAAGUAAUUCCAGUGAGGACAGGCAUUUAUAUUUUAUUUCCAUGUAGUAUAUAAACCCAGCUUUACAAAAGAAAUAGACUUUGGAAUUUGUAUAGUAAUGGCACUGGCAUAAUUUAGGGACAGUUUUCACGAUGAAAGUAUCAGGCAUGCGGUCCAUGAGCACCAUUCAUUCAGGAGCCCUCUGUGGAUGCUGGUGUACUUUUCUGGUCCCUUACCGGUAUCUGUGUUCAUGUUGACUGCUUCAGUGUAGUGUCUUAGAUAGUCAUGCUGUUUGAGGAUAACAGAUUCUCAAAUACAACACAGUCAUUGUCUCAGGACAUCUGUUAGACCUAGCUUUCAGACCCUUUUCAUGUGGACAUUUUACUUUGUUCUCCCUGACUUUACAUAUUUAUGUUUUUCCUCUGUAUUACAGAAAAGUGUAUACUGGCUAUGUCCCUUUAAAAAAUGCCAUAAAAAUAAAUGAAAACACAUAAAGAAUCC